UACGUAGGGUGCAAGCGUUAAUCGGAAUUACUGGGCGUAAAGCGUGCGCAGGCGGUUGUGCAAGACAGAUGUGAAAUCCCCGGGCUCAACCUGGGAACUGCAUUUGUGACUGCACGGCUGGAGUGCGGCAGAGGGGGAUGGAAUUCCGCGUGUAGCAGUGAAAUGCGUAGAUAUGCGGAGGAACACCGAUGGCGAAGGCAAUCCCCUGGGCCUGCACUGACC
rnacentral:rRNA from 1 species